AAAAAACAAAAAUUACAGAUUACAGUAUCUGCAGACCCACAUGUCAUCAGAGACAGCAAACAUUGCUUUGCUAAGGCCCUGUAUCUAAAAUGCAUGUGCCAGUCCUGAAGAAGUUCUAAAGAAGAUGCACAAGGAUGACCCCAGGCAAGAAAAGAAUCAUCUUCAUGAACCUCCUCUGGACCCUUUCCAAUGCCAGCACAUCUUUUCAUAGAUAAGAGGCUCCACAUGUCACAAGGGGACGUGGAGACUGGACCCAAAUGCAGGACGCAGGCACUGAAGUACUAGGGGCAGGAA